rnacentral:rRNA from 1 species
UACAGAGGGGGCAAGCGUUAUUCGGAAUUAUUGGGCGUAAAGGGCGCGUAGGCGGCCUUUCAAGUGACGGGUGAAAUCCCCCGGCUUAACCGGGGAACUGCCUGUCAGACUGGGAGGCUUGAGACCGGGAGAGGUGAGUGGAAUUCCCAGUGUAGCGGUGAAAUGCGUAGAUAUCUGGAGGAACACCGGUGGCGAAGGCGGCAUCCUGGACCGAUACUGACGCUGAGGAGCGAAAGCCAGGGGAGCAAACGGG